GCGGGUGUGAUGUAGUGGUAGCAUCAAAGCUUGCCAAGUUUUGCGCGCGAGUUCGAGUCUCGCCACUCGCU
rnacentral:tRNA from 2 species